AGAGUUUGAUCAUGGCUCAGGACGAACGCUGGCGGCGUGCCUAAUACAUGCAAGUAGAACGCUGAAGAGAGGAGCUUGCUCUUCUUGGAUGAGUUGCGAACGGGUGAGUAACGCGUAGGUAACCUGCCUUGUAGCGGGGGAUAACUAUUGGAAACGAUAGCUAAUACCGCAUAACAAUGGAUGACACAUGUCAUUUAUUUGAAAGGGGCAAUUGCUCCACUACAAGAUGGACCUGCGUUGUAUUAGCUAGUAGGUGAGGUAAUGGCUCACCUAGGCGACGAUACAUAGCCGACCUGAGAGGGUGAUCGGCCACACUGGGACUGAGACACGGCCCAGACUCCUACGGGAGGCAGCAGUAGGGGAUCUUCGGCAAUGGGGGCAACCCUGACCGAGCAACGCCGCGUGAGUGAAGAAGGUUUUCGGAUCGUAAAGCUCUGUUGUAAGUCAAGAACGGGUGUGAGAGUGGAAAGUUCACACUGUGACGGUAGCUUACCAGAAAGGGACGGCUAACUACGUGCCAGCAGCCGCGGUAAUACGUAGGUCCCGAGCGUUGUCCGGAUUUAUUGGGCGUAAAGCGAGCGCAGGCGGUUUGAUAAGUCUGAAGUUAAAGGCUGUGGCUCAACCAUAGUUCGCUUUGGAAACUGUCAAACUUGAGUGCAGAAGGGGAGAGUGGAAUUCCAUGUGUAGCGGUGAAAUGCGUAGAUAUAUGGAGGAACACCGGUGGCGAAAGCGGCUCUCUGGUCUGUAACUGACGCUGAGGCUCGAAAGCGUGGGGAGCGAACAGGAUUAGAUACCCUGGUAGUCCACGCCGUAAACGAUGAGUGCUAGGUGUUGGAUCCUUUCCGGGAUUCAGUGCCGCAGCUAACGCAUUAAGCACUCCGCCUGGGGAGUACGACCGCAAGGUUGAAACUCAAAGGAAUUGACGGGGGCCCGCACAAGCGGUGGAGCAUGUGGUUUAAUUCGAAGCAACGCGAAGAACCUUACCAGGUCUUGACAUCCCGAUGCUAUUUCUAGAGAUAGAAAGUUACUUCGGUACAUCGGUGACAGGUGGUGCAUGGUUGUCGUCAGCUCGUGUCGUGAGAUGUUGGGUUAAGUCCCGCAACGAGCGCAACCCUUAUUGUUAGUUGCCAUCAUUCAGUUGGGCACUCUAGCGAGACUGCCGGUAAUAAACCGGAGGAAGGUGGGGAUGACGUCAAAUCAUCAUGCCCCUUAUGACCUGGGCUACACACGUGCUACAAUGGUUGGUACAACGAGUUGCGAGUCGGUGACGGCGAGCUAAUCUCUUAAAGCCAAUCUCAGUUCGGAUUGUAGGCUGCAACUCGCCUACAUGAAGUCGGAAUCGCUAGUAAUCGCGGAUCAGCACGCCGCGGUGAAUACGUUCCCGGGCCUUGUACACACCGCCCGUCACACCACGAGAGUUUGUAACACCUGAAGUCGGUGAGGUAACCUUUUGGAGCCAGCCGCCUAAGGUGGGACAGAUGAUUGGGGUGAAGUCGUAACAAGGUA
rnacentral:rRNA from 1 species